rnacentral:tRNA from 1 species
UUAAUUGAAACCAAAUUUUGAGGUCUAUUAUUGUUAAUAAUAUCAUUGAAUAUUUAUAUUCCAAUUAAU